GAUGGACGCUGGCGGCGUGCCUAAUACAUGCAAGUCGAGCGAAUGGAUUAAGAGCUUGCUCUUAUGAAGUUAGCGGCGGACGGGUGAGUAACACGUGGGUAACCUGCCCAUAAGACUGGGAUAACUCCGGGAAACCGGGGCUAAUACCGGAUAACAUUUUGAACCGCAUGGUUCGAAAUUGAAAGGCGGCUUCGGCUGUCACUUAUGGAUGGACCCGCGUCGCAUUAGCUAGUUGGUGAGGUAACGGCUCACCAAGGCAACGAUGCGUAGCCGACCUGAGAGGGUGAUCGGCCACACUGGGACUGAGACCCGGCCCAGACUCCUACGGGAGGCAGCAGUAGGGAAUCUUCCGCAAUGGACGAAAGUCUGACGAAGCAACGCCGCGUGAGUGAUGAAGGCUUUCGGGUCGUAAAACUCUGUUGUUAGGGAAGAACAAGUGCUAGUUGAAUAAGCUGGCACCUUGACGGUACCUAACCAGAAAGCCACGGCUAACUACGUGCCAGCCGCCGCAGUAA
rnacentral:rRNA from 1 species